rnacentral:tRNA from 1 species
AAAGUUGAAAUAAACAUUUAUAUUCAGUUUCGACCUGAAAUUUUAGUUAUCAAAAUAACUCAUCUUUA